UACGUAGGGGGCAAGCGUUGUCCGGAAUCAUUGGGCGUAAAGAGCGCGUAGGCGGCCCGAUAAGUCCGCUGUGAAAGUCAAGGGCUCAACCCUUGAAUGCCGGUGGAUACUGUCGGGCUAGAGUCCGGAAGAGGCGAGUGGAAUUCCUGGUGUGGCGGUGAAAUGCGCAGAUAUCAGGAGGAACACCAAUGGCGAAGGCAGCUCGCUGGGACGGUACUGACGCUGAGGCGCGAAAGCGUGGGGAGCAAACAGG
rnacentral:rRNA from 1 species